rnacentral:rRNA from 1 species
UACGUAGGGGGGCAAGCGUUGUCCGGAAUCAUUGGGCGUAAAGAGCGUGUAGGCGGCCAGGUAGGUCUGGUGUGAAAACUCGAGGCUUAACCUCGAGAUGUCAUCGGAAACCAUUUGGCUAGAGUCCGGAAGAGGAGAGUGGAAUUCCUGGUGUAGCGGUGAAAUGCGCAGAUAUCAGGAAGAACACCAAUGGCGAAAGCAGCUCUCUGGGACGGUACUGACGCUGAGACGCGAAAGCGUGGGGAGCGAACAGG